UAGUAUUCAAUUGUCAGAGGUGAAAUUCUUGGAUUUAUUGAAGACUAACUACUGCGAAAGCAUUUGCCAAGGAUGUUUUCAUUAAUCAAGAACGAAAGUUAGGGAUCGAAGACGAUCAGAUACCGUCGUAGUCUUAACCAUAAACUAUGCCGACUAGGGAUCGGAUGAUGUUAAUUUUUUAAUGACUCA
rnacentral:rRNA from 1 species